rnacentral:rRNA from 16 species
UUUGUAUAAUGGGUCAGCGACUUAGUGUUGCGUGCAAGCUUAAGCCGAUAGGUGUAGGCACAGCGAAAGCGAGUCUUAAUAGGGCGAAUGAGUACGUAGCAUUAGACCCGAAGGCAAGUGAUCUAGAUAUGGGCAGGCUGAAGGUGCAGUAACAUGCACUGGAGGGCCGAACCGUUGAGCGUUGAAAAGCUCUCGGAUGACCUGUGUCUAGGGGUGAAAGGCCAAUCAAACUUGCUGAUAGCUGGUUCUCCGCGAAAUCUAUUUAGGUAGAGCGUCACGAUUAGACUCUGGGGGGUAGAGCACUGAAUGGGCUAGGGGUCCUCACCGGAUUACCAAACCUUCUCAAACUCCGAAUACCCAGAAGUUAUGCGUGGCAGACACACGGCGGGUGCUAACGU